rfam:Nicotiana sylvestris Nsyl_contig146493, whole genome shotgun sequence.
UGGACAAAUUAUUGUAUUCGACUGUAUUCACGGCGUGAAACAUGGGAUUACACUGUUUUUAAAACGGAAAGUGAAUCAAUUAACAUAAUAGACUCCU